rnacentral:rRNA from 1 species
GACGAACGCUGGCGGCGUGCUUAACACAUGCAAGUCGAACGGAAAGGCCCCCAUCUUGGUGGGGGUGCUCGAGUGGCGAACGGGUGAGUAACACGUGGGUGAUCUGCCCUGUACUUCGGGAUAAGCUUGGGAAACUGGGUCUAAUACCGGAUAGGACCAUGGUUUAGUGUCUCAUGGUGGAAAGAUUAUUGUUUUGGUGCAGGAUGAGCUCGCGGCCUAUCAGCUUGUUGGUGGGGUAAUGGCCUACCAAGGCGUCGACGGGUAGCCGGCCUGAGAGGGUGGACGGCCACAUUGGGACUGAGAUACGGCCCAGACUCCUACGGGAGGCAGCAGUGGGGAAUAUUGCACAAUGGGCGCAAGCCUGAUGCAGCGACGCCGCGUGGGGGAUGACGGCCUUCGGGUGGUAAACUCCUUUCGUUAGGGACGAAGCCACGCUUUUGGGGUGUGGUGACGGUACCUUUGUUAAGAAGCACCGGCUAACUACGUG